GAUGAACGCUGGCGGCGUGCCUAAUACAUGCAAGUCGAGCGAAUGGAUUAAGAGCUUGCUCUUAUGAAGUUAGCGUCGCACGGGUGAGCAACACGUGGGUAACCUGCCCAUAAGACUGGGAUACCUCCGGGAAACCGGGGCUAAGACCGGAUAACAUUUUGAACCGAAUGGUUCGAAAUUGAAAGGCGGCUUCGGCUGUCACUUAUCGAUGGACGCGCGUCGCAUUAGCUCGUUGGUGAGGGAAAGGCUCACCAAGGCAACGAUGCGUAGCCGACCGGAGGGGGUGAUCGGCCACACUGGGACUGAGACACGGCCCAGACUCCUACGGGAGGCAGCAGUAGGGAAUCUUCCGCAAUGGACGAAAGUCUGACGGAGCAACGCCGCGUGAGUGAUGAAGGCUUUCGGGUCGUAAAACUCUGUUGUUAGGGAAGAACAAGUGCUAGUUGAAUAAGCUGGCACCUUGACGGUACCUAACCAGAAAGCCACGGCUAACUACGCGCCAGCAGCCGCGGUAA
rnacentral:rRNA from 1 species